GCACAGGUGCUGCAUGGCUGUCGUCAGCUCGUGUCGUGAGAUGUUCGGUUAAGUCCGCUAACGAGCGCAACCCUCGCUGUGUGUUACAAGUGUCACACGGUACUGCCGGUCUUAAGCCGGAGGAAGGUGGGGAUGACGUCAAGUCAGCAUGGCCUUUAUGUCCUGGGCUACACACACGCUACAAUGGCCAACACAAUAGGUUGCUAAGCCGCGAGGUGGAGCCAAUCCUCAAAGUUGGUCUCAGUUCAGAUUGCAGGCUGCAACUCGCCUGCAUGAAGAUGGAGUUGCUAGUAACCGCAGGUCAGCUAUACUGCGGUGAAUACGUUCCCGGGGCUU
rnacentral:rRNA from 1 species